UUUGAGAUGAGGUAACUUCCAAACCUUUUAUUCCCUUCCAUUCACCUCCAAAAAAAAACAAACUCUUAAAUAAACCUUCAUGGAGUUAUCAAAACUCUAUCUUUCUUUAAUAACAUCUUAAGUAUGUUGGAGUGAGUAUAAAUAAGCUAACCAUAUGUAUAUAUUAUUUGAAUUUGAUUCCAUAAAUACUCAAUCUAAUUUAUUUAUCUAGGGAAACAAAUUUAAGCUUGAACAUAGACUAUUAUUUGAAUGAUUCAACUUCAAGCUUUAUAGGCUUGACACUAAUCAUAAAUUAAUAGUUUCAUACACCCUAAGUUCCAUAUAUCCAUACCCAGAACAUUUCAUACCAAUGCCUCUAUUAGAAAAUGAUUCUCUAAGGUGGUGUUCUUAUUGAACAUUAAAAAUUACAAGUAUGAGAAAAACAAACACAACAUAACUUACCAACUUUUAUAGCAAUCAAAACAUGCACACUAAUUUGAAAUGAAAAUGGACACUAUGUGUAGCACAUAGUUUGGUGGAGCUUGAUGACUUGAAAAUGGAAGAAAGGCAUUACCUUCCCUUUGCCUUUAUGACUUGCCUAUUCCUUCAUCUCUCUUCCAAUCAAGGAAAAAGAGAAUAGCAUAGUUUGUAACAUCUUGACUUGGUUAUAUCAUCUUCAUUUUCUUCUUUCUCCAUCUUCACUUGCCUUGUUACUACCAAUAUUAGUCCUCUUCAACAUGAUUGAGUGCAAGGGAAAGGGAUUUUAAAAGCAAAUCAACCUCAGCAUAUAAAGAAGAAAAAGCUUUACAUGACUUUUAUGUAAAGUAU
rnacentral:lncRNA from 1 species